rnacentral:rRNA from 1 species
GAUGAACGCUAGCGGCAGGCUUAAUACAUGCAAGUCGAGGGGCAGCGCAGUGUAGCAAUACAUGGGCGGCGACCGGCAAACGGGUGCGGAACACGUACACAACCUUCCUACAAGUGGGGAAUAGCCCAGAGAAAUUUGGAUUAAUACCCCGUAACAUAGCGAUGUGGCAUCACAUUGCUAUUAUAGCUUCGGCGCUUGUUGAUGGGUGUGCGGCUGAUUAGAUAGUUGGCGGGGUAACGGCCCACCAAGUCUACGAUCAGUAGCUGAUGUGAGAGCAUGAUCGGCCACACGGGCACUGAGACACGGGCCCGACUCCUACGAGAGGCAGCAGUAAGGAAUAUUGGACAAUGGACGCGAGUCUGAUCCAGCCAUGCCGCGUGAAGGAUUAAGGUCCUCUGGAUUGUAAACUUCUUUUAUAAGGGACGAAAAAAGGUCUUUCUAGAUCGUCUGACGGUACCUUAUGAAUAAGCACCGGCUAACUCCGUGCCAGCAGCCGCCGUAAGAC